CUCUCUUGCCUGCUGCCACGUAAGAGGUGACUUUGCUGCUCCUCCGCCUUCCACCAUGAUUGUGAGGCCUCCCCAGCCAUGUGGAACUAUCUUUGCAUGUUCUGUCCAGCAAGUUCUCUCUCCAUGAAGACCAUACCACCUAAAGUGACCCCAUCUCAGUCUGUCUGUUGGUAGACCUCCUGCAAUCAACUGAAGGCCUGAAUAAAACAAAAGACUGGCCUCCUCCCAAGCAAGAGGUGAGUAUGUUUUUGAUGAUUUUAAAUCUCAAGUUGUGGCUCAGCAUCACAAAUGGAAGAAAAAGUAAAAGGAAAAAUGAAUGACAAUCAAAGCUUUUUCUUUGCUUUUGUGGAGGUUGUGGAGGGGCGAAAUUUCUAAGAUCCUCAUGCUGCCAUUUCUGCUGAUGCCAAUCAUUUCCGUUAAGGUUUGGAUAAGCCUCGAACCACAAGUGCACUGCAGUCUGAAUAGGCAUCAUAAUCCUCCAGGAAACUCUGAACGGCCUUGACACAGACUCUAAAACCCAGCUGGGCACCGUGGCUCACACCUGUAAUCCCAGCACUUUGGGAGGCCGAGGCACGCAGAUUGUUUGAGCUUGGGAUAUCGAGAUCAGCCUGCGCAACAUGGGGACCCUGCUCAGCCAAACUCUGAUCCAAAGGAAGCCACCGCCGUCAUAUCCACAUCUAGCCAUACUUCGUUUGAAAGCUUCCCGGGCUCUGUGAGUGCUGGCUUUUGGGACCUAUUUUUGAGGGGAAAGAAUAUGGUCAUUGCUUCCUUCUGGAUACACUGAACCCUCGAUAAAGGACUUGGAGGUGGCUUGUGUGACUUUUACUGCUGAAGUAAAUAGGCUUUGUUUUAAGCCUGGUACCUAAUCAAUCCAGAACUUAGCUGUGUUUAUAUGCCACAGGGAAGUCAAAGCCAAUGCAUCUUGGAACUGACUGAAAGUAAAUGACCACUGUGUAGCUCCCUGUAUUAAUGCAUAAGGCCCUCUAGACUGAAAUAUACCAUGCAAAACAUGGCAUACAGAAAGACAUCUUGAAUAUUUCCUGUGACUAGUCAAGACCCUAUCAAGGAGGUGAUCAGUAUCAUCUGCACUCUAACUGAAUCUUGCAUUUAUACCCUAACUGAAACUUGCAUCCUUUUGUACACUGUUUCUCCUCUAUCUUUCUAGUUGGAACAUAUCCCUUAAUACACAGAUUUAGGGUUUAUCCUCAACAGUGUCAUUAGCUGACUGUCUAAUGGAAUCAACCUCUUUCUCUAUCUUUAUAUGAAAUUAUUUAUUUAUUUGGAUUUCCUCAUUAUCAGAAACAUACCCAUGCAAUUAUUUAAAGACUUGAUUUUGUCCUAAAUUAGGUAAAAUAGGAUAAUGAAAUGUGUAUCCAUAUGUAAUAAUCAAAUAGAGAACCCAAACCUAUUUGUAUCCAUAAUUUAAACAGAAUAAGUAAGGUAACUGCAUUAGUUUCCAAAUGCUGCUAUAACAAAUUUCUAAAAACUUAAUGGCUUAAAACAGCACAAAUUUAUUAUGUUACAGUUCUGAAAGUAAGGAGUCUAAAAUGAGUUUGCAAGGCUGCAUUCUUUCUGGAGGCUCUAAGGAAUAACCUGUGUUCCUGCCUUUUCCGGCUUUUAGAGGCUACUCACAUUUCUUAGCUUAUGGAUCUUUCCUCAUAUCACUCAGAUCUCUGCUUCUAUCAUCACCUCUCUUACUCAAACACCGACCCUCCUUCCUCUCUCUUAUAAGGAUGCUUGUGAUUAUGUUGGGCUUACCUAAACAAUACAGAUAAUCUCCACAUCUCAAAAUACUUAACAUUAUCACACCUAAAAAGUCCCUUCUACUGAGGUUAUAUAUUCACAGGUUUCUGGGACUGGGAUAUGAACACCUUCAGAGCUAUAUUCUGCCUACUACAAUAAGCAAUACCCAAGCUAGUAUUUUAUUUUGUGCCCGAGGAACUGUAUUUUCACAUCUCAUUUCAGCUAUGCUUGGUCAUUCUACAUCUUUAUCAUCCAAGGUGCAGAUGAAAUAAGAGUGUUUUGCUCUGUGGAAUAGUAGAAAGUGCAUUGGCUUUGGAGUCAGAAAGCCCUAUUUUCACACUCUGGCUUUUCCAUUGAGCCAACUGUAUGGCCAUGAACAAGACAUUUAACUUCUCUGAUCCCUGACCCUUUGAAUGUAGUGUGGUCCUCAAUAAAUGGUAGUUGCUUUAACAAAAU
rnacentral:lncRNA from 10 species